rnacentral:rRNA from 1 species
UACGAAGGGGGCUAGCGUUGUUCGGAAUCACUGGGCGUAAAGCGCACGUAGGCGGCUUCUUAAGUCAGGGGUGAAAUCCUGGAGCUCAACUCCAGAACUGCCUUUGAUACUGGGAGGCUCGAGUCCGGGAGAGGUGAGUGGAACUGCGAGUGUAGAGGUGAAAUUCGUAGAUAUUCGCAAGAACGCCAGUGGCGAAGGCGGCUCACUGGCCCGGUACUGACGCUGAGACGCGAAAGCGUGGGGAGCGAACAGG